AUUGAACGCUGGCGGCAGGCUUAACACAUGCAAGUCGAGCGGAUGAAGGGAGCUUGCUCCUGGAUUCAGCGGCGGACGGGUGAGUAAUGCCUAGGAAUCUGCUUGGUAGGGGGGGAUGAUGUCUGGAAACGGGCGCUACUACUGCAUACGUCGUGAGGGAGCAAGUGGGGGGUGUUCGGACCUCACGCUAGCAGAUGAGCGUAGGUCGGAGUAGUUAGUUGGUGGGGUAAAGGCCUACCAAGGAGACGAUCCGUAACUGGUCUGAGAGGAUGGUCAGUCACACUGGAGCUGAGACACGGUCCAGACUCCUGCGGGAGGCCGCAGUCGGGAAUAUGGGACAGUAGGCGGAAGCAUGGUACAGCCAGGCGGCGUGUGUGGAAGAAGUCUUGCGAUUGUGAAGAACGUCAAGGUGGGGGAAACGGCAGUAACUUGAUACCAUGCUGGUGUGACGUUACCAGCAAAAUAAGCACCGGCUAACUUCGUG
rnacentral:rRNA from 1 species